UUAAGUGUCAUUCGACUGCGCUCUCAGACGUUUUAAAAAACUAAAUUUUGCAUAAAAGAAUUUUCAAAAGAGUGCUGCCGGCAGGCUGACCCUCCCGCCGUGAGGCGAGGGAGGCGCUGCCGAAGCAACAAGGGGUUUCACAAAGGGUUCACCGUUCAGCGCUUCCCUCCCCAAAGGGGGGGGGAAGCACCUUCUGGCUACGGGUUUUUUAGCCGGCCCCCGGGGCCCUUUACUUUUUAAUGAUCCUUCCGCAGGUUCACCUACGGAAA
rnacentral:misc_RNA from 1 species